rnacentral:rRNA from 1 species
AUUGAACGCUGGCGGCAGGCCUAACACAUGCAAGUCGAGCGGCUCGGCGGACGGGUGAGUAAUGCCUAGGAAUCUGCCUGGUAGUGGGGGAUAGCGUUCGGAAAGGGGCGCUAAUACCGCAUACUAUCAGAUUAGCAUAGGUCGGAUUAGCUAGUUGGUGGGGUAAAGGCCUACCAAGGCCACGAUCCCUAGCUGGUCUGAGAGGAUGAUCAGUCACACUGGAACUGAGACACGGUCCAGACUCCUACGGGAGGCAGCAGUGGGGAAUAUUGGACAAUGGGCGAAAGCCUGAUCCAGCCAUGCCGCGUGUGUGAAGAAGGUCUUCGGAUUGUAAAGCACUUUAAGUUGGGAGGCGUUACCAACAGAAUAAGCACCGGCUAACUUCGUGCCAGCAGCCGCGGUAAUUC